rnacentral:rRNA from 1 species
CGUGUAGGCGGCGAUCUAAGUCGGGUGUGAAACCCCUCGGCCCAACCGGGGAAUGGCAUUCGAUACUGGAUUGCUUGAGUGCGGUAGGGGCAAGUGGAACUCCAGGUGUAGCGGUGAAAUGCGUAGAUAUCUGGAGGAACGCCGGUGGCGAAAGCGACUUGCUGGACCGCAACUGACGCUGAGGCGCGAAAGCUAGGGGAGCAAACG